rnacentral:rRNA from 1 species
GACGAACGCUGGCGGCGUGCUUAACACAUGCAAGUCGAACGGAAAGGCCCUGCUUGCAGGGUGCUCGAGUGGCGAACGGGCGAGUAACACGUGGGUGAUCUGCCCCUUACUUUGGGAUAAGCCUGGGAAACUGGGUCUAAUACUGGAUAGGACCAUGCUGUAGGUGGUGUGGUGGAAAGAUUUUUUCGGUAAGGGAUGAGCUAGCGGCCUAUCAGCUUGUUGGUGGGGUAAUGGCCUACCAAGGCGUCGGCGGGUAGCCGGCCUGAGAGGGUGGACGGCCACAGGGGGACUGGGAUACGGCCGAGAGUCCUACGGGAGGCAGCAGUAGGGAAGAUUGCCCGAUGGGGGCAAGCCUGAUGCAGCGACGACGCGUGGGGGAUGACGGCCUUCGGGUUGUAAGCACCUUUCAGACAUGACGAAGCCUCUUGUGGGGUGACGGUAGUGGUAGAAAAAGCACCGGCUAACUACGUG